AGUCACGAGUUUGAUCCUGGCUCAGGAUGAACGCUAGCGGCAGGCUUAACACAUGCAAGUCGAGGGGGUAUAGUUCUUCGGAACUAGAGACCGGCGCACGGGUGCGUAACGCGUAUACAAUCUACCUUUACAGAGGGAUAGCCCAGAGAAAUUUGGAUUAAUACCUCAUAGUAUUUUUGAAUCGCAUGAUUUGAUUAUUAAAGUUCCAACGGUAAAAGAUGAGUAUGCGUCCCAUUAGCUAGAUGGUAAGGUAACGGCUUACCAUGGCUACGAUGGGUAGGGGGUCCUGAGAGGGAGAUCCCCCACACUGGUACUGAGACACGGACCAGACUCCUACGGGAGGCAGCAGUGAGGAAUAUUGGACAAUGGGCGCAAGCCUGAUCCAGCCAUGCCGCGUGCAGGAAGAAGGUCCUAUGGAUUGUAAACUGCUUUUAUACAGGAAGAAACACUCCCUCGUGAGGGAACUUGACGGUACUGUAUGAAUAAGGACCGGCUAACUCCGUG
rnacentral:rRNA from 1 species